AUUGAACGCUGGCGGCGUGCUUAACACAUGCAAGUCGAGCGGUAACAGGUGUAGCAAUACAUGCUGACGAGCGGCGAACGGGUGAGUAAUGCUUCGGAAUCUGCCCAGUAGUGGGGAAUAACGUAGGGAAACUUACGCUAAUACCGCAUACGAACUACGGUUGAAAGCAGGGGAUCGCAAGACCUUGCGCUAUUGGAUGAGCCGAAGUCGGAUUAGCUAGUUGGUGGGGUAAAGGCUCACAAAGGCGACGAUCCGUAGCUGGUCUGAGAGGACGACCAGCCACACUGGAACUGAGACACGGUCCAGACUCCUACGGGAGGCAGCAGUGGGGAAUAUUGGACAAUGGGGGAAACCCUGAUCCAGCGACGCCGCGUGUGUGAAGAAGGCCUGCGGGUUGUAAAGCACUUUUAGUGGGGACAAAAAGCCAAAGGCUAAUACCUUUUGGUCUUGAUUUAACCCAAAGAAAAAGCACCGGCUAACUCUGUGCCAGCCGCCGCCGUAA
rnacentral:rRNA from 1 species